GGAGAGGUGGCUCAACGGUUAAGAGCACUGGUUGUGCUUCCAGAGGUCCUGAGUUCAAAUCCCAGCAACUACA
rfam:Rattus norvegicus chromosome 7, whole genome shotgun sequence.